rnacentral:rRNA from 2 species
GCGAAGAAACUUCCUACCCUUUAUAUUGUCGGAAUCCUGCUGAGAGGUGUGAGUGCUCGAAAGAGAACCGGCGCACAGGUGCUGCAUGGCUGUCGUCAGCUCGUGUCGUGAGAUGUUGGGUUAAGUCCCGCAACGAGCGCAACCCUUGUCCUUAGUUGCUACGCAAGAGCACUCUAAGGAGACUGCCGGUGACAAACCGGAGGAAGGUGGGGAUGACGUCAAGUCCUCAUGGCCCUUAUGGGUAGGGCUUCACACGUCAUACAAUGGUCGGAACAGAGGGUUGCCAACCCGCGAGGGGGAGCUAAUCCCAGAAAACCGAUCGUAGUCCGGAAUGCACUCUGCAACUCGAGUGCAUGAAGCUGGAAUCGCUAGUAAUCGCGGAUCUAGCAUG